rnacentral:rRNA from 1 species
UACGUAGGGUGCGAGCGUUAAUCGGAAUUACUGGGCGUAAAGCGUGCGCAGGCGGUGCACCAAGCUCGAUGUGAAAGCCCCGGGCUUAACCUGGGAAUUGCAUUGAGGACUGGUGUGCUCGAGUGCGGUAGAGGGGGGUGGAAUUCCACGUGUAGCAGUGAAAUGCGUAGAGAUGUGGAGGAACACCGAUGGCGAAGGCAGCCCCCUGGGCCGACACUGACGCUCAUGCACGAAAGCGUGGGGAGCAAACAGG